rnacentral:misc_RNA from 1 species
GCUAAACAAUAGCAAGAGCAAGACGCUAACAUGAGCAAUACUGGGGAGUACCAGCCGAGCUACUGACUACUGUACUCGGUGGCUCACGUCACGUGUUGCUUGACGCACUUUCUGCACAUUUGAAACGCGACAUUCCAGAACCAUUUCCAGGACAACGAGCAACUUUCCCCGCCACACCUUCUGCACUGCUCCACAGUGGGCCAUAGUCCGUACAGAGUCAGUAUUCGUAAGCUGUCAUCAUGCCGUCUUCUUGACCCUUCACCUGCUGAGGCAGAAAAGAGAGAGCAAUGGGGAGCCACGAAAGGCCCAUCAGCCCCUUCAUGCCUCGCUCACCUCGCCUGCCCCCUGUUGCCGAGUCCAGCCCACGACCACCCGAUCGCUGGUAUGAUUCCUCCGCCACCACCUCCGCCAGGUCGCGGGGUGAUCGGAGCAGACUGCGGGAGAUGAGCGCUCAUUCCAGGUCAACAGUGGGGGGCUCGGUGGUGAGUCCUAUGUCCCUCGACCCCUUCAGCUCCUAUAAGAUAAACGACCUUAACUCGUUUUCCAUGAAUGACCAGCGCUGGACACUACAGAGGAAGAAGAUUGGCUUAAAGCGCAGAACUAAGGGAGCACAGGAGAGGCGCGUCAAAAGUAGACAGACCCAGGAUAUCAACCUCUCCUUCAUGCAUUCCAACUUCACCCGCAAGGAGUGUAUCAGGUAUGUGAAGAAUGCCAAUGCGAAAGUUGAAGGCUCGUGUUAUUGUGGCCUCCUGCAGAAUGAGCACAUCCCCCUCUCCUCCCUCCUUACUGCCCCGCCACCACUUAAAUCAGAGGAUGGUACCCUCAUGAACAUCCAGGAGAAGGUUGAUCGGAAGCAACAGCAUAAGACCUCUGGCCUUGCUAACAACAUCUUCAACACACUCAGCAGCUUGACCAGAGGGAAUUCUGUCCAGCUGUCAUCCGUUGCCGAGACCUCCAGCCGCCCACCCACCGCCACCUCCAAACUUUCCCUGCAGGAGUUGGAGACUGGGGUUGGCCAAGGUGAAGACAACAGUGUGUUCUCAAGGGAAAACAUCCUUUUGGCCAACGGUGUUACGUCAAGGUCACGGUGCAAUGUUAUCCAACCUUCAUCAAGGCCCAACACAUUGCCCCGGAUAGUGAUGCCUGCACCAGACAGUCCCUGGAGGCAAGAUACCCACCUGUAUGAGCUUCCCACCAAUGCCUAUGGCAGCAUUACAUUCAUGAAUGAAACAGCUGGAUCUAACAAGCCAUCGAAGUAUGUGCGUCUGUCAUCAACUAGUAAUGUGAAGAAUGUAUUGACGCUCCUCACUGACUAUUGGUGUCUAAUGGAUCCCAACCGACCCCAGCUGGUCAUCUCCGUCACAGGUGGUGCUAAGAACUUCCAGCUGGAUGGCAAGAAGAAGGAAAUAUUCUCUUCAGGUCUUAUAAAGGCCGUGAAGUCAACGAAUGCAUGGCUCCUGACGGGGGGGAUGCAUGUGGGGAUCAUGAAGAGUGUGGGAGAGGCCGUCAACCGGGGCCAGUUCAUCGUCAAGAUAAAACGGAAGAACUUCUUUUCUGAGGAACGUGUGCACAUGAUACGAGGCAUCAGGUGCCUGGGUGUGUUGCCCUGGGGAUACAUCAAGAACAGGGAGAGUCUCAUGAACAGUGACGUCAACCAGUUUACUUCUGUCAAGUACAAGGUGGAGGAGAAUGCUGCCCCAUUAGAGCCAGUGUCACUUGAUGGAGAUCACACCCACUUCCUCUUCGUCGAUGAUGGCCACAGGAACGUUUUCAGGGGUGUUGAUGACUUCAGGACUCGCCUGGAGGAGGGAAUCCGGAAGCCAGAGCCAGAGGGGCUGGGGGUGCCAGUGGUGUUGCUGCUCCUGGAUGGAGGUGUCAACUCCAUCAUCAAGUGUAACUUGGCCCUAAAGCGUGACAUACCCAUCGUUGUGGUUGCUGGCACUGGUAGGGCUGCUGAUCUACUUGCCUACGCUGUCUCCAUGACCAUUCACACUCCCAGCGGAAGGUUCAUCAUGCGUAAGGGACACCGGGCACAGCUCGUCAACAGAAUCUCCAUUACCAUGCGGGAAAUCAAAUCUUUCCCUGAGAAACAAAAGUGUGCAGACCUGCUGAUUGAGUGUUGCACCAAAGUCAACAUGAUUACAAUCUUUGACAUCAACUCAAAUGAGGACAUGGACAAGUAUAUCCUGUAUGCUUUACUCACAGGUGAGGAUGUAACAUCAAUGCAGGAUCAACUGAGCCUGGCACUAUUAUGGGACCGUCCUGACAUAGCGGAGUGUGAGAUUUUCCCUGCACAGAAAAAUUGGCCAUCAGGUGCACUGGAGGACCUGAUGACUACUGCUCUUCUGGAGGAGAAGGUGGAGUUUGUUAAGCUUUUCACCAUGAACGGUUUGGUCAUGGCAGACUACCUCACCGUCAAGAAGCUCCGACACCUGUAUAAUGAGGCAUGUAUACCCAACUCCCACCUGAUGAGGCUGCUACAGCGAGCAUCACAAAACAACUACCACUACCUGUUCCAUGUUCACAACGUCCUGCAGGCCAUGAUGAGGCGCCACCAUGACGACAUCUACACCUCAGACACCCCUCAGGCCCAGUCUGACAAUCCAUCCAUUAACUAUCUGACCUUUGAGGACCCUUACAUGGAGCUGCUUCUGUGGGCCAUUUUCAGCAGACGUGCCUGGUUGGCCAAUUACCUGUGGCAGCGGUGUAACUCACCACUGUGUGCCGCCAUUGCUGCCUCUUGCCUGUACCAAUCACUGUGGCGUUCUCUUGGGGCCAAGAACACAGACAUUCUUGAGGAAUACAAUAAAAACAAGAACACCUUUGAACUAUUUGCUGUCAAUCUGCUGGGUGUGUGCUAUCAGCAAGAUGUAAUCAAUGCCUUGGGCCUGGUGGAGCGAAGGAAUGCCAAAUGGGGCAACAGUGACUGCCUUGAGUUGGCAGUCAUGGCCAAUGACUUGAUCUUCAUCUCCACCCCUGCGGCCCAGGCCAGUGUAGAACUCAACUGGCGGCGUGGCAUGAGCAGGGCGCCCUUCUUUGCAGUUAUGAUUGCCAAUGUUUUUCCACUUCUAAUUUUUUGGCCACGUUUUUUUCGUUUCCAAAAAUUGGGGGACAACGGAGGAGAGCUGACUAUCCCACAGAAGAUGGUCGUCUUCUACAAGUCACCCAUCUCUAAAUUCUGUGCCCACUCCACUGCCUUUGUGAUUUUUCUUAUUGUAUAUGCUUAUGUUGUCCUCUUUGACUUCAAGUAUGAGAUGUCAAUUACCGAAAAGUUUCUCUUUGUCUGGAUAUGUAUCUACGUCAUUGAUGAAAUCUCAGAGAUAAUCUCGGAGCAAUCAUUGACUCUGCGAGGCAAGAUAUCUGACUGGGCAGGCAGUGUGUGGAACAGAUUUGACAUAGUUGCUUUCUUCCUGGCCUUUCUGGCACUGGGCCUGCGACUUCAUCGGCAGACAUUCAAGUGGGGACGCAUUGCUUAUGCCGUCAACACCAAUGUCUUCUACUGCAGACUCUUCAGGAUGUACCAUGUUAACUAUCACCUGGGCCCUAAACUGGUUAUCUUUUACAGGAUGAUAUCAGAGGUGCUGGUAUUCCUGGCUCUCUUGGUGAUCUUCAUCCUCGGGUAUGGUAUAGCAUCCCAGGCGCUGCUGCACCCCUCACGCGAUGCUGGCUCUCUCAACUCCACUUCUGUAUCCAGCAUCAUGGAGGAUGUCCUGCUUACACCCUACUGGCAGAUGUAUGGAGAAUUGCUGCUGGAUGAGGCAGAAGUUACGUGUUUGAUGAGGUGCAGGAGAACAGUAUGGAGAUCUGGAAGUUUGAGAUGUUGCGACUGAUCCGGGAGUAUGACAUGAAGCCGAGCCUGAUCCCACCAUUUGUUGUGCUUGAAUACAUCUGGCGGGUCUCCAAAGGCACUUGGAAGCUCUUUUGUCGGAAACACCGGGAGAAUUUGGAAGACUACAUGAAGAGCACAUUGGAUUCACUAAGGAUCUUUGAGAAGGAGGCCAUCUCUACCUACCUGGUCAGGAUCACCUUGGAUGAGGAGUGCAGUGUUGACAAUCGUGUGAAGAGA